GGGCGAGUAGCUCCAACGGUUAGAGCAGCGGCUUCCAAACCCGCGUGUUGGUGGUUCGAAUCCAUCCUGGCCCGC
rnacentral:tRNA from 5 species